UGGGGAAUUUUGCACAAUGGGGGAAACCCUGAUGCAGCGACGCCGCGUGAUUUAGAAGGCCUUCGGGUUGUAAAAAUCUUUUCUAUGGGAAGAAAAUGACAGUACCAUAGGAAUAAGGACCGGCUAAUUACGUGCCAGCAGCCGCGGUAAUACGUAAGGUCCGAGCGUUGUCCGGAAUCAUUGGGCGUAAAGGGUACGUAGGCGGGUAAGCAAGUUAGAAGUGAAAUCCUAUAGCUCAACUAUAGUAAGCUUUUAAAACUGCUCAUCUUGAGGUAUGGAAGGGAAAGUGUAAUUCCUAGUGUAGCGGUGAAAUGCGGAGAUAUUAGGAAGAAUACCGGUGGCGAAGGCGACUUUCUGGCCAUAACCUGACGCUGAGGUACGAAAGCGUGGGUAGCAAACAGG
rnacentral:rRNA from 1 species